rnacentral:rRNA from 1 species
CGGCGGACGGGUGAGUAACACGUGGGUAACCUGCCUGUAAGACUGGGAUAACUCCGGGAAACCGGAGCUAAUACCGGAUAGUUCCUUGAACCGCAUGGUUCAAGGAUGAAAGACGGUUUCGGCUGUCACUUACAGAUGGACCCGCGGCGCAUUAGCUAGUUGGUGGGGUAAUGGCUCACCAAGGCGACGAUGCGUAGCCGACCUGAGAGGGUGAUCGGCCACACUGGGACUGAGACACGGCCCAGACUCCUACGGGAGGCAGCAGUAGGGAAUCUUCCGCAAUGGACGAAAGUCUGACGGAGCAACGCCGCGUGAGUGAUGAAGGUUUUCGGAUCGUAAAGCUCUGUUGUUAGGGAAGAACAAGUGCGAGAGUAACUGCUCGCACCUUGACGGUACCUAACCAAAAAGCCACGGCUAACUACGUGCCAGCAGCCGCGGUAAUACGUAGGUGGCAAGCGUUGUCCGGAAUUAUUGGGCGUAAAGGGCUCCCAGGCGGUUUCUUAAGUCUGAGGGGAAAGCCCCCGGCCCCACCGGGGGGGGUUCUUUUGGAAACUGGGAAACUUGAGGGCAAAAAAAGAAAAGUGGGAAUCUCCCCUUGUACCGGUGAAAUGCGUAAAAAUUUGGAGAAAACACCCCUGGCGAAGGGAACUCUCUUGGUCUGUAACUGACGCUGAAGGAGCGAAAGCGUGGGGGAGCGAACAGGAUUAAAAAACCCUUGGGAGUCCACGCCCUAAACAUGAUGAGUGGUAUUUUUUUAGGGUUUUUCCGCCCUUUUAGUGUUGCAGUUGAAGCAUUAAUCACUUCUCCUGGGAAGAAGGUUCCCAAUACUGAAAUUCAAAGGAAUUGACGGGGGCCCGCACAACCGGUGGAGCAUGUGGUUUAAUUUGAAGCAACUUGAAGACCCUUACCAGGUCUUGACAUUUUCUGACAACCCUAGAGAUGGGGCUUUCCCUUGGGGGACAGAGUGACAGGUGGUCCAUGCCCGUCCUCAGCUCUUGUUGUGAGAUGUUCGUUUAAGUCCCGCAACGAGCGCAACCCUUGAUCUUAGUUCCCAGCAUUCAGUUGGGCACUUUAAGGUGACUGCCGGUGCCAAACCGGAGGAAGGUGGGGAUGACGUCAAAUCAUCAUGCCCCUUAUGACCUGGGCUACACACGUGCUACAAUGGACAGAACAAAGGGCUGCAAGACCGCAAGGUUUAGCCAAUCCCAUAAAUCUGUUCUCAGUUCGGAUCGCAGUCUGCAACUCGACUGCGUGAAGCUGGAAUCGCUAGUAAUCGCGGAUCAGCAUGCCGCGGUGAAUACGUUCCCGGGCCUUGUACACUCCGCCCGUCACACCACGAGAGUUUGCAACACCCGAAUUCGGUGAGGUAGCCUUU